GCUUAUUUUAUCCAGGAGUUCUAGGUAAGACCACUUUUUCAAAUAUCCUCUGAACGUUGACUUAGGUGCACACACCUGUGCUUCCAUUGGCAACAAAAGCUUUGAAUGCACAGGACUUCCACGGCAUGAAAUGCAUUUACAUACAUUACAUAAGAGAGAAGCAAUGAGCAAGUCUGUUGCUGGGAGAGGCUCACAUCCUUCUCACCAAAUCAAUCUGUAACUUUCAAAUAGCUCUGCUGUAUUUCCUAGCAACAGGAGUAAACACUGUACUACAUCCAGUGCCCAAGAUUUGUAACCACGUUAAUCUGUUAGAAGCCUAGAUGUGUGACUGGAGAUGCCUCCUGUCCAUUCAAUCUGACUCCAAUGUGGUUCUGCAGCACUGGACAAAGAUGGGAGAUUGAAACAGGAGCCCCUGCGAUGGGGGAACAGAGCCAGGGAGCAGGGGUUGGACAGAACCCAGGUUUGAGAAAACAACCUUGUGAACCUUCUAUUGGAGCAGCAAUAAAGAUCUGAGCUAAGUGUCGAGGGAGGCUGAGGAGGUGGUCACUAAGUCUGUCUUAGGCAUCCCAGGGUCUCCUCAGAGUCCAAGCCUGAAGUCCACUGCAGGGGUCACCAGCCACCUGUGGCCACAUUGGAAUGUGGCCAUUCUGAAUUGAGUGUAGGUUGGUGCAGUCACAAGACAAUGCUUCAGGAGAAAAUCUGGGGAGGCGGUCUCAGGGCAAGAGGGUGAGUGGGGGAAAUGCCUAUGGAAUGAGAAAGAGACAACAGGGGGACCGACCCAUCAAGGGCUACAAAGAAGGUGAAUUUGCUUUCUGAGUUGUGCUUGCCUGCCGGACUCAUUUGCAGCAAGAGAGACCAGAAUAUAAAGGCCACGAUAAUAACAUCUCAAAUAAAUUAGAAGCAGCUUGUGGUUUAUAGUGAGCAAUGCUCUACUGGGGACCAGACCAAGCAGUUACCCCUGUCUUCACUCCAUCUGUGGUUAAGUCAUUUGGUCACUGUUGCCUUCUCAUCUGCAAAGCGGGGACUGAGAUUAACUGCUUGGCCUGCAUAUCCCCCUGACUCUGUCAACUAAGUUUUCGGAAACCUGAAGCACUCUAAACAUCCUGGGGGAAGAAAGGGCUGGAGAAACAUACAAUGUUUUGUGAUCAGAGUUUUUAAGCUGAAAAGAAUGAAGAAACUUGAAUAGAAUAAAUUCUUGAUACUUCCUUUUUCAUAACACUUACCACGCUUUAUUUCGAUUAUUUAUUAGCCCCCUUCCUAGCUAGAUAUAAGCUAGCUAUAAAUACCAUGAGCUCAGGACCCACAUCUGUCUGCUCACUGCUGUGACCGCAACUUAGAGGACAGAGCCCAGAAUACAGGCCUCAAUAAAUACUGUGGAAGAGGGGUCACAUGGAGAAUUUGCAGUCAUUUUUGCUGUUGAGCAUCUGUUAAGUUAAAGUUUCCAAGUGUGCAAACUGUACUCGGAAAUGAGUAAGAAGUAGAAACUUACCUAGAGAUGAUCAAACCAGUAGUGCUGUCACUCUAAUGAUGUUAUCUGUCCCACUGUGAAAACAUUGUCACAGGUGAAGGAGGAGAGUGAGGUGAGACCUUCCCAGCCCUUGACUGCUCUUGCACUGGACACAUUCCAGGAAGCUCUUGUGGCAGAAGCAGCCACUUAACUUACUUUUAACAAGAGAAGCUGAAGGCUGAGGGAAGUCAGGACCAACAGAGGAUCCAAAUUUCAGUGGCACAAGUCUUAAGCUUCAUUUGGUUGCAUGAAUGAGUGCGGAAGCAGCAUGAAGUAGUGGUGAUACAAACCUGGGUUCUGUGUUUAAUUCUAUUCUCAGUACUUUCCCAGUGGGAGACUGUGAGUUCCCUCUCUGAACCUCGUUCUCCUCCAUGGCUUAAAACUGGACUCAUAAUGCAUGGCUUAGCUAUAAUGUACCUUUCAAAAAGGGCUGGCAUCCGGUAAACACUGAAUAAAUGGUUACAUGUCAAACACAGUAAACAUUCAACAAUGGCUAAUAUCUUCCUUCUGCAUCAGCUUUUAAAACAGAUUUUUUAACCUGGAGUCCAAGGAGUCCCAGGAAAUCCACAGACGAGAUUCAAUGGAUCCUUGAAAUCCCUAAAAUUAAAUACAAAGCGGGGUAUGUGUGGACAUCUUUUCUCUUCAAGGAAAGAAUCCAUAGCUUUCAUAUGAUGCUCUUAAGACUCUCAGACUGAAAACAGUUUAAGAACUAUUGAGUUUCUGUGGCUUCCAAAGUGUUUAGCUCCUUCUAUUUAUCUAUGGAAUAGCUCUGUGAAUGACUCUCAAAACCAAGCUUUUCUGUGCCUCCUCAAGAGGCCUGCAUUUUAUAUGCAGCAGUACAACUUCCUUCCAUAAGACGCUUUUAUUUUCUGGCAGCAGCAGUAUCACAGGAAGAUGACUGGAAUUUAUAAGAUUGAUGACCAAAGAAGGCAGCUAUAAUGUUUUAUUCUCAAGAUGAUGGUUACUCAUCUUAGAAUAAAAACAACAACAACAAAAAAUAACAGAUGAAUGGGAAGAGCCCAAUCAAAGCUUUAUUCUACUCCUCAACAACUCAGGAGUUAAGCCUAAAGCUGCAGAUGAAAAUUUUGCCACCAUGAAGAAAAGAAGAAAUCAGAAUUGGAUUCUUUCUGAACUUUUCCUUUACAGUAGCCAGUAUAUGCCCUUUCCUACUUGAGCAAGUAUAAACUGGGUUUCUGUGAUUUGCAACCAAGUGUCCUGACAAACACAAGGAUGAAAGACAACUGUGUCUCAAUAAAGGAAAAAUAGUUUAUUUUUAUGAGUGGUGGAUUUAAAAAACCUACAUUACUGUGACAAGAGUACCUUAAAACAUUUAAGUCUACAAAAGGCACUUAGGGACUUUAUAGCAAACUCUACACUUAUAAUGAAAAGCCAGACCAGAUCAUUUUAAAAAAACGUUACUGCACGAGAUAAUGGCACAUCCACUCGUUCAAUUAACAUUUAUUGAGUGUCUUCAGGGGUUUUAGACUUGUGCAAUAAAAAUGAUAAAAACGUAUUCUUUGGUUUGAGCUGGUCCAUCCAAGGUCGUUCCAUAAAGAGCAGCUGUGUAUGCUGUUCAGACUAAUUGUGUGAAGCUGGAGAGGCCAGGUGUUUCUGUCUGGCCCAGCAGCUGCACUUUGCGGUAAGGGCACCACCUGAAUUUCAGUCUGGCCAUAAAAUGAGGCUGAAGAAACAGCACCUUGCAUGAGCUUUUAGGUGAAAGGCAGAACAG
rnacentral:lncRNA from 10 species